AUCGCUUCUCGGCCUUUUGGCUAAGAUCAAGUGUAGUAUCUGUUCUUAUCAGUUUAAUAAACUAAUAUAGUAUGUAGAUAAAUUAAAAUAACAAUAUAACAUUA
rnacentral:snRNA from 1 species